rnacentral:rRNA from 1 species
GGACUACUGGGGUAUCUAAUCCCGUUCGCUCCCCUGGCUUUCGCACCUCAGCGUCAGUCACUCGCCAGGACACUGCCUUCGCCUUCGGUGUUCCUCCGGAUCUCUACGCAUUUCACCACUCCACCCGGAAUUCCGUGUCCCUCUCGAGCCCUCAAGUCCAACCGUCUUUCGCAUGCUCGGGGAGUUGAGCCCCCCGCUGUCACACAAAACGCGCCAGACCGCCUGCAUGCCCUUUACGCCCAGUAACUCCGGACAACGCUCGCCCCCUACGUAUUACCGCGGCUGCUGGCAC